GUUUUUACCGUCAAAGUU
rnacentral:sRNA from 1 species